CGGGGGUGUUUAUUGUGGACGCAAAGCUGGGCUGUGUGUGAUCUGGACUAUUUAAUACAUUACUUACCCUGCAACAAUCUCGGGAAAGCUCCACGGGCCAAAGGGAUGGGAGAAAAACGCAGCAGUGCGCAAGCGCCCCUCCCCGGUUCAACUAAGGGGGGUGUGUGUGUGAGAGCGAGAAAGGAGCGGGACUUGCGGGAGGAGGAACGCUGGAUCCCGGCGAGUCUCAUGGCGGGAAGGGGAGGCGUGGUAGCGGCGACUCUGGAGUUUAAGGAAAAGGCACUUCAACCCGAGAAAGUUUCGGAGGGCGAGCUGGCGCUCCGGGAGAAGGGCAGGAGGCAGCAGGAAAAAGAUGAAAUAAGUGAUGGGACUACUCAAAAGGAAUGCAACACUAUCCAGAUUCCCCAUAAAACUUGGUGAAGGAGAUACUUGAUUGCUUAAUAAUAGCUUCACCUAAAAGGACCCUUUAUUUAUUGCACAGCAAAUGCUACGAUCCAAUUACCAAUGGGGAAGACCGGAACAGGGAAGGAGAGGAAUCUUUUGUUAAUCAACCACCUCCACUGUGAUGCUCCACACUGAGACCCCAAACUAACUGGCAGAACCAAGUUUUUAAGCUUUUAUGAAAGCCCAGGAGGAUUAAGGCAAACCUCACACCGGAGGAGCAAGAUACUAGAACCAUGUGGGACUAUUUUUAAACUAAAAUCUGAGACUUAAGGAAUGCUACAUCUUCAAUUCUAAAAUCCCAGCAGUUGUUAUUCACUUAUAGAUGAUCUGCAGUGAUGACAGAAUGUACCAUAAAUAUUAAAGACUCUAAGGAGCCACAGAUCCCAACAGUUUCUUUCCAGAUGUAUUCUAUUUGGGGAAACUGAUCACCUGAAGCUAAUCCCUCACAUCUGGAUGGGAAGAGGCAGAUACCUAUCCAUUACUGUAGGCAGAGGCCUCAACUGGAUUGCCAGUUUCAUGUAUGAAUGAGAUUUAUUUCCAUUCACAAAAAAGACUGUGCUGAAUCCAGUUCAAUGCCAUCACAUGCACACACUACGUCUCACGUCUUUAAAUUAUAGAUUCAGAAACUGCAAGUUAUCAAAUGUGGGAUUUGUCAGAGGACAGUAGAACUUCCUGCUUGUAGUUGACAUUGUAGCAACUUCUUGGUAGAGUUUGCAUUUAAAUAAUAUGUUAUAGUGUUUAAACGAAACUCAAUAAAAAUUCAAAUUUCAUCUAUUAUGAACAGCCUAACUCUCAAAUCAAACUUUUUAAAAUAACAUUCUAUAUAAAUAGGAUUUUAAAACAUAGAACUUGUGGAAAAUGUAUUCACUUUCACUUCUAUCUAUAAAGUGGUUUAUGAAUGACCUUCCUACUGAA